UCCAGCAGUAGUCAGCUGUGCAGGCAUUUGUCGUGCCUGUAAUAGUGUUACACUGCUGGGACAGUGACCUGCAGUUACACUGGUUUGACUCUAGAGGGUGCUGAUGUAGCAUCCUUCAGGUGUUCAAGCCAAGGCAGGAAAGCCUCUGAGCUAGGACUGAGUUUGUUACUCGCUCCUUGACAAGAGGCUUUACAUU